rnacentral:rRNA from 1 species
UACGAAGGGUGCAAGCGUUACUCGGAAUUACUGGGCGUAAAGCGUGUGUAGGCGGCUAUGUAAGUCGGAUGUGAAAGCCCCGGGCUCAACCCGGGAAGUGCACUCGAUACUGCGUAGCUUGAGUCUCGGAGAGGUUGGUGGAAUUCUCGGUGUAGAGGUGAAAUUCGUAGAUAUCGAGAGGAACACCGGUGGCGAAGGCGGCCAACUGGACGAAGACUGACGCUGAGACACGAAAGCGUGGGGAGCAAACAGG